CUGGUAGAAGGGAGAAGGAGAAGGUGGAGAAAGGGAUUCCUACUUGUUAAAGUGCUGCCCUGGAGUUACUCUCACAUUAUAUUGGUUAUGGAGAGGCACAGUCAUUAGAAGUGAAGUAAAAGACAGUCCCGAGUCUGGAAGUCAGAAAUUAUGGAAUGGGAUUCUUCAUUUACUAGUUAUAUGGCUUUGGAAAAAUCACUUUAAUAUAUGAAAUGACAAUUAUGUGAAACACAUGGCUGUGAGAAAUGAGAUGUGAAAUCUUUCUGUUAAAUAGGCAUGUACAAAGUGGAAAUCAUGGUGGGAAAGAAGAUGGUUCUGAUGAGCAGUAGCGUAGGGGAGUAGAGACUACAUCUGUGAAGAGAGCCUGGAUGGAUUCAACCUCAGCCACUCACAUAGCCAAGAAACCUAGUGCCAAGAGGAGCAGCAGCCAAUGCAAUGAGGAGGGAAGACGCCAUCAGCCAAGUUGUAGCUGGAACAUGUGCAUUGUUGCCACAGCAGGCAGAGGAGACACCCAGGGACCUAUGACACACACCAAAGUAUUCCUGCUGCUGUCCCUGAAGGAGUAAAGUCUAACUCUAAGGUCUUGCUUUUCUUGUUGGUUUUGAAGAAGCGAAUCAAUCCUACAGCCAUAAGAAAAUGAAUUUUGCCAACAUGAGUGAGCUUGGAAGGGGGCCUUUCUCCAGUUGAGACUCCAAAAGUAAGUAAAUGGAGUCCUGGCUGACGCUUCAUUUAAACAAGCAGUGCAAGGACUCCUGGCACGCUGAAACUGUGGGAAAAUAAACGUGUGCUCUUCUAAGCUGCUAAGAAAAGAAGAUCAUAUGGAAGAAAAGGGGAUCAAAAAUCAAGGGCCUCAUG